CGUAGGGUGCAGGCGUUAAUCGGAAUUACUGGGCGUAAAGCGUGCGCAGGCGGUCUUUUAAGUCAGAUGUGAAAUCCCCGGGCUUAACCUGGGAACUACGUUUGAAACUGGAAGGCUAGAGUGUGGCAGAGGGGGGUGGAAUUCCACGUGUAGCAGUGAAAUGCGUAGAUAUGUGGAGGAACACCGAUGGCGAAGGCAGCCCCCUGGGCUAACACUGACGCUCAUGCACGAAAGCGUGGGGACCAAACAGGAUUAGAUACCCUGGUAGUCCACGCCCUAAACUAUGUCAACUGGUUGUCGGGGAAGCAAUUCCUUGGUAACGAAGCUAACGCGUGAAGUUGACCGCCUGGGAGUACGGCCGCAAGGUUA
rnacentral:rRNA from 1 species